rnacentral:rRNA from 1 species
GAUGAACGCUGCGGCGUGCCUAAUACAUGCAAGUCGAGCGAACGGACGAGAAGCUUGCUUUUCUGAUGUUAGCGGCGGACGGGUGAGUAACACGUGGAUAACCUACCUAUAAGACUGGGAUAACUUCGGGAAACCGGAGCUAAUACCGGAUAAUAUUUUGAACCGCAUGGUUCAAAAGUGAAAGACGGUCUUGCUGUCACUUAUAGAUGGAUCCGCGCUGCAUUAGCUAGUUGGUAAGGUAACGGCUUACCAAGGCAACGAUGCAUAGCCGACCUGAGAGGGUGAUAGGGCACACUGGAACUGAGACACGGUCCAGACUCCUACGGGAGGCAGCAGUAGGGAAUCUUCCGCAAUGGGCGAAAGCCUGACGGAGGAACGCCGAGUGAGUGAUGAAGGUCUUCGGAUCGUAAAACUCUGUUAUUAGGGAAGAACAAAUGUGUAAGUAACUAUGCACGUCUUGACGGUACAUAAUCAGAAAGGAACGGCUAACUACGUG